GCACGCACGCACGCACGUACUCGAGCGCAUAUACUCCCCACCUCCAAAAAAAAAAAACUCCUUAAGGGAAUCUACUGCCUGAGGACCUUUCUUUGAAGCCCUUGAAGAGUUAAUAAUGGGCAUUGUUGCCACAUUCACAGCAAUUGACUUUAUUCAUACUGGCACCAUCUUGACGCACC
rnacentral:lncRNA from 1 species